UACAGAGGGUGCGAGCGUUAAUCGGAAUUACUGGGCGUAAAGCGUGCGUAGACGGUCAUGUAAGUCGGAUGUGAAAGCCCCGGGCUCAACCUGGGAAUUGCAUUCGAGACUGCAUGGCUUGGGUGCGGAAGAGGGAAGCGGAAUUUCCGGUGUAGCGGUGAAAUGCGUAGAUAUCGGAAGGAACACCAGUGGCGAAAAGCGGCUUCCUGGUCCGACACCGACGUUCAGGCACGAAAGCGUGGGGGAGCAAACAGGA
rnacentral:rRNA from 1 species